rnacentral:rRNA from 1 species
AUUGAACGCUGGCGGAAUGCUUUACACAUGCAAGUCGAGCGGCAGCGCGGGGCAACCUGGCGGCGAGCGGCGAACGGGUGAGUAACAUAUCGGAACGUAUCCUUAAGUGGGGGACAACCUAGCGAAAGUUAGGCUAAUACCGCAUACGCAGGGAACUGGAAAGUGGGGGAUCGCAAGACCUCACGCUUUUGGAGCGGCCGAUAUCAGAUUAGCUUGUUGGUGAGGUAAAGGCUCACCAAGGCGACGAUCUGUAGCUGGUCUGAGAGGAUGAUCAGCCACACUGGGACUGAGACACGGCCCAGACUCCUACGGGAGGCAGCAGUGGGGAAUUUUGGACAAUGGGGGCAACCCUGAUCCAGCCAUUCCGCGUGAGUGAAGAAGG